UACGUAGGGCGCAAGCGUUAUCCGGAAUUAUUGGGCGUAAAGAGCUCGUAGGCGGUUUGUCGCGUCUGCCGUGAAAGUCCGGGGCUCAACUCCGGAUCUGCGGUGGGUACGGGCAGACUAGAGUGCAGUAGGGGAGACUGGAAUUCCUGGUGUAGCGGUGAAAUGCGCAGAUAUCAGGAGGAACACCGAUGGCGAAGGCAGGUCUCUGGGCUGUAACUGACGCUGAGGCACGAAAGCGUGGGUAGCAAACAGG
rnacentral:rRNA from 1 species